AUGGGGUUUCAGCAUGUUGGCCAGGAUAGUCUCAAUCUCUUGACCUUGUGGUCCGCCUGCCUCGGCCUCCCACAGUGCUGGGAUUACAGGCGUGAGCCACCAUGCCGGACUUCCUUCUGCUCUUACUUUUCCCUGCAUUCCCUCAGGCUGGCCCAGACUCUAGACUUGUGGCGUUUACCUGUGUCUGGGACCCUUAGAUCUCCUCUCUGUCUUCUCCACCUGUGAAAAACUGAAGGAUGUGGAGAAGAGUAGACCGCAGAACCCUGCCUUCUGCAGCCAAGCUGAGGGCAGGCUGUGUGGGGGCAGUGUCGAGAGGGUGGAUGGACUCGUAGGCUGCAGCAGAGGCCACUGUGUCCCUGGACAUUGCCUCCGUCCUUUCUUCUCCUUGCUUCACUGGCCACAGUGUCUCCCUCCAGCCCUCGGCAUGUUCUUCUACCAUCUUCACCCGUCAUGGAGCAGAGGUGAGGAAAGGCAGCUUGGGAACCCAAAGACCAGUGAAGGACCAGGUCUGGACAGCACAGGGUCCUCCCUGGGCAUCCAACAGAGGCGCCCAUAAACGUCGGAGCACCCCAAGAGGAGGGAGCACAGCCAGCCUCCAUCGACGGCAAGCCUCCAGCCCCUCCUACAUUGAUCACCAUUUCUCUCCAGUCUUUCUGCCUCCGAGAUGGGGCACCGUCAGUGCAGUGCCCUGCGGCUUCAGCGCCCUACUUCCUCCUCCCAGCCUGUAAUGUUUAUAUAAGCAGACUCAAGGACCAAGAGCCAGCUGUGGAAGGACACACACAGGAAAUUCACAAAGGAAAUUCUAAUGGCUAAAACCCCGAACCAAAUGUAUGCUUCAUUAGUAAUUAAAGAAAGGCAAAUAGAGCUGAAAGCGUUUUUCCCUUAGCAAACCAUCACAGAAAAAAAUAAGACCCAGUAUUGGCAAAGAGACUGCUAAAAUAACAUGCCCAUACAUUGUGUGUGGGAGGAUAGAUUGGUGCUGGCUUCCUGGACGGCAGUUUGGUGAUGUGUGCCAUGUACCCUAAAAGCGUCCAUGUCCUUUGACCUACUAAUUCUAUGUUUGGGAAUUUAUCCUAAGAAAAUAAUUGAGGAUUUAGUUAUAAGAUGUUCAUCCCAGCGCUGCAAUGGAGAAAAAUGGGAAGCAAUGGUGUGGUUGGAAAUUCAUUCCUUUUCUGCUGUAAUGAAAGUUUGCAAUAGGGGAUUACUGAAGUAAAUUAUUGUAUAUCCAUCCAGAUGGUGGAGUACUGCACAGACAUUAAAAGUCAUGUAAAAGAACAUCUGACAGAAAAAUGCUCCUUGAAUAUUAAGAGGUUGUAAAAAUAGCGCAUGUUAUGUGAUCUCAAUUUUGUUUUUUAAAAUCUGGGUUUAUACUUACUGUUUACAUAGAACAGAUAAAGACUGAAGGCAUACUAAAAAAUGUUUAGUGGUUAUCUUUGGAUAGUGGAAUAAAAUUGUGAUUUUCAUCUUU